rnacentral:tRNA from 1 species
GCCUGGGUGGCUCAAUUGGUUAAGCGUCUGACUUCAGCUCAGGUCAUGGUCUCAUGGUUUGUGGGUUCAGGCCCCAUGUCGGGUU